UACGUAGGUGGCGAGCGUUGUCCGGAUUUACUGGGCGUAAAGAGCGCGCAGGCGGUCGUAUAAGUCGCGUGUGAAAGCCCCCGGCUCAACUGGGGAGGGUCACGCGAUACUGUUCGACUCGAAGGCAGGAGAGGGAAGUGGAAUUCCCGGUGUAGUGGUGAAAUGCGUAGAUAUCGGGAGGAACACCAGUGGCGAAGGCGACUUCCUGGCCUGCUCUUGACGCUGAGGCGCGAAAGCUAGGGUAGCAAACGGG
rnacentral:rRNA from 1 species